rnacentral:rRNA from 1 species
AGAGUUUGAUCAUGGCUCAGGACGAACGCUGGCGGCGUGCCUAAUACAUGCAAGUCGAGCGCAGGAAACUGACGGAACUCUUCGGAGGGAAGGCAGUGGAAUGAGCGGCGGACGGGUGAGUAACACGUAAGGAACCUGCCUCAAGGAUUGGGAUAACUCCGAGAAAUCGGAGCUAAUACCGGAUAGUUCAUCGGACCGCAUGGUCCGUUGAUGAAAGGCGCUCCGGCGUCACCUUGAGAUGGCCUUGCGGUGCAUUAGCUAGUUGGUGGGGUAACGGCCCACCAAGGCGACGAUGCAUAGCCGACCUGAGAGGGUGAUCGGCCACACUGGGACUGAGACACGGCCCAGACUCCUACGGGAGGCAGCAGUAGGGAAUCUUCCACAAUGGACGAAAGUCUGAUGGAGCAACGCCGCGUGAGUGAUGAAGGUUUUCGGAUCGUAAAACUCUGUUGUAAGGGAAGAACACGUACGAGAGGGAAUGCCCGUACCUUGACGGUACCUUACGAGAAAGCCACGGCUAACUACGUGCCAGCAGCCGCGGUAAUACGUAGGUGGCAAGCGUUGUCCGGAAUUAUUGGGCGUAAAGCGCGCGCAGGCGGCCUUUUAAGUCUGAUGUGAAAGCCCCCGGCUCAACCGGGGAGGGCCAUUGGAAACUGGAAGGCUUGAGUACAGAAGAGAAGAGUGGAAUUCCACGUGUAGCGGUGAAAUGCGUAGAGAUGUGGAGGAACACCAGUGGCGAAGGCGACUCUUUGGUCUGUA